rnacentral:lncRNA from 1 species
GCACCCGGUGGAACCCUUUUUGUGUGAAUUUUACUUUUUAUUUUUUAAUUUUUUAAUUUUUUAAAGCUUUUCAUUUGAGAAAACUUCUCAUAUUGUAAGUAUAUGUGAGAUUGAGGAAUGGUAGUAUAAUCAAAAGAUAAAGUAUAAACCCAGUGAGGAGAUACAUUAGGAAAAUGGUUAAUCCCAGAAACAACAAUAAUGGAGAACAUCCAGCCAACAACACUAGGGCAUACACGGUUACUGGAAGUUCGACUGAACCAUACACCUCUA